GUUUAUAACCAUAGCACCUUGAAAGGGCCCAGUCUUUGAUCUUGGAAGCUAACCAGGAUCUGGCUUGGUUAGUACUUGAAUGGGAGACCAUCUGGGAAUACCAGGUACUACAGGAU
rnacentral:rRNA from 1 species